rnacentral:rRNA from 1 species
GACGAACGCUGGCGGCGUUGCCUAAUACAUGCAAGUCGAGCGGACCUGAUGGAGUGCUUGCACUCCUGACGGUCAGCGGCGGACGGGUGAGUAACACGUAGGUAACCUGCCCGUAAGGCCGGGAUAACAUCCGGAAACGGAUGCUAAUACCGGAUACGCAAUUCCUUCGCAUGGGGGGAUUGGGAAAGGCGGUUCCGAUUGAAUUCGGGCUGCCGCUUACGGAUGGACCUGCGGCGCAUUA